GACGAACGCUGGCGGCGUGCUUAACACAUGCAAGUCGAACGGCAGGGCCCUGAUUGUGUGGUGUUCUCGAGUGGCGAACGGGUGCGUGACACGUGAGUAACCUGCCCUUGACUUUGGUAUAACUUCAGGAAACUGGGGCUAAUCCCGGAUAGCAGCUCCUGCUCGAUUGAGGGGGUUGGAUAGUUUCGGCGGUUGGGGUUGGACUCGCGGGUUAUCAGCUUGCUGGUGGGGUAGUCGCUUACCAAGGCUGUGGCGGGUCGCCGGCCUGAGAGGGUGGACGGCGACAAUGGGACUGAGAUACGGCCCAGACUCCUACGGGAGGCAGAAGUGGGGAAUAUUGCCCAAUGGGCGGAAGCCUGAUGCAGCAACGCCGCGUGCGGGAUGACGGCCUGCGGGUUGUAAACCGCUUUCGCCUGUGACGAAGCGGGAGUGACGGUAAUGGGUAAAGAAGCACCGGCUAACUACGUG
rnacentral:rRNA from 1 species